UAGGCGGCCGGGACGGCGCUCGGCUCCCAGAAGGGCGUUUCCGCACCCCCUCGCCGCGCCGCUCCCGGGCGUGGCGCCUGUGAGAAAGGCGGUCCCUCGCGGGCGUCUCUUAUUCAUCCGUGGUUUCCACCGAAAGAGGAAAUGGACUGUACUCUUUGGUGCUAGUCUUCACGAAGCCCCACUAUGACAGCUGACGUCAAUUCUAAGGAAAUCAUGGAGAAUGGAUCUCUAGGACUCUAAAUGAUAGAGCACGGACAAGAGCACUGCCUUUUUGAAUAAGUCCACCCACCAUCUCCAAGAAACCUAGGUUUCAUCUCACUUAGGCUGCAAGCAUUCUCCAGAGGACACAUCAGCAAGCCAGAAGCUCACCUUUUCCCUGACCCCUCCCCUCAAAAGCCUGCCAAAAAAACCUGGCCAUAAAAGCCUCUUAGCCUGUAAGAGACACCUUCUUUGUUCUGCUCGCCAGAACAGAGGAGGUCCCUCUCAGGUUUAGCAAUAAACCUGCUUGGACUGUG